rnacentral:tRNA from 1 species
GGGCCACUAGCUCAGUUGGUCAGAGCACCAGACUUAUAAACUGGCGGUCCUGAGUUCAAAUCUCAGGUGGCCCACCA